rnacentral:rRNA from 1 species
AGCCCACCAGCUAGCCCCACAUACAAAAACAACAAACAUUUAUUAAUAAACCCGAACGACUUACAAUGUCUAAAACAAAUCAUUUUCCCCCCUUAGUAUGGGCGACAGAAAAGGAAUGCAGGAGCUAUAGUUAAAGUACCGCAAGGGAACGCUGAAAGAGGAAGUGAAAAAAAUCAGUCAAGCGAAGAAAAGCAGAGAUUGCUCCUCGUACCUUUUGCAUCAUGAAUUAGCAAGAAGAAGUCAAGCAAAGAGAUUUUUAGUUUGGCACCCCGAAACCAAGUGAGCUACUCCAAGACAGCCUCAUAGGGCAAACCCGUCUCUGUGGCAAAAGAGUGGGAAGAUCUUUGAGUAGAGGUGACAGACCUACCGAACUUGGUUAUAGCUGGUUGUCCAGGAAUUGAAUAGGAGUUCAGCCUUUUUUCUUCUAUUACAUCACCUUUAAACUUUAAAGCACUAAAGAAGACAAAAGAGUUAGUCAAAAGGGGUACAGCCCUUUUGAAAAAGAUACAACUUUACAAGAAGGGUUAAGAUCAAACACCUCAAAAGGGGACUGUUCUAGUUGGCUUAAAAGCAGCCACCCACACAGAAAGCGUUAAAGCUCAUACACUCCCUCGCCCUCAUAUUCGGAGUCAAACACUCUUACCCCCCUACACCUACUGGACCCCUUCAUCCCCACAUGAAGGAGAUUAUGCUAAUAUGAGUAAUAAGAGACCUAAGCCUCUCUCCCUGCACAAGUGUACAUCGGAACGAACCCGCACCGAAAAUUAACGGCCUCAAUAAAGGAGAGGACUGAAACACUAUGGCUAAACCACUGGAAAAUUAUUCACAAACAUACCGUUAACCUUACACCAGAGUGCAAGCAAGGAAAGACUAAAAGAAAAAGAAGGAACUCGGCA